AUACUCACCCUCUUUGACAUGCGUACCCUCUCCCCUCCCCCAAGUGAAAGAAAAGUUGAAGAGCUCAAAAAAUGCCUUCCUUUCAAAGAAUAAAUCAAGGCUAUCUGUACGAUUAAAUUAAAGUCUCAAAUUUCCUUUCCAAUUUUAGCCAGCACGCCGAUACUGAUUCUUCCCUUCUUUUCUUGCCGUUCGUUCCUCUAAUCCUCUACCCCCACCUCGCAUCUUCUUUUGUUUUUCCAUUUCAACGCAGUUCCAGUCUUCUCUCUAGGUAAGAGAGAGAGAACAGAGAAAGAGGAUUGGAAUCAUUUUCUUCGGUUUUUUGUUUUAUUUUAUUCGGUUUGCGUUUUCUUUGUUUCUUGUUUUUGAUCGGAUCGGCGGCAGCAGUCUUUUUGUGUUCGGGUCUUCAAAAUAUUCGGAUUGGUCGGAGGCGGAGAUGGCUGCGGUUGCGGAGAACGCGACCGGCGUCGGCGACCAGUUCGUCCGCCGCCCGUCGUCGUCGCUGCCGCAGCAGAAGCGCGGGGGGUCUUCGGAGGCGGAGUACCAGCGCGACGUGCGCGAGCUCGUCGAGCUGCUCUCCAAAUUGAACCCGUCCGCGAAGGAGUUCAUCCCCUCCUCCAACGCUUCCGCCAACACCCCGCUUCUGGCGGCCGGCCAGGACGCCGACGCGGCCGCGGCGGCGGCACAGACCACCGCCGGCGGAAGGAUGCCAAAUGGGCGGCUGUCGGCAGAUGCGCCGGUGUUCGUGGCCUCCUCGGAUUACUACGGCAGGCCGAUCGGUGGGGGGAAUCGGUACGCGGCCAGCGGCGAUGGCCCGUCCAACAACCAGCAGCCCCGCAGAAGAAAGAACAAUUACAACAAGGGGCAUCGGAGGUUUAAUGAUAGGGUUCAAAAAGCGCAGAAGGAGGACCGCAUCAGGCGCACUGUAUAUGUUUCUUAUAUCGAUCAUAAUGUCACUGAGGAGCAGCUUGCUGCAUUAUUUGGUAGCUAUGGGAAAGUACUUGAUUGCCGUAUUUGCUGUGAUGCUAACUCAGUUCUUCGAUUCGCAUUUAUAGAGUUUGUUAAUGAACAUGGUGCAAGAGCAGCAUUAAAUCUUGAUGGGACCGUGCUAGGUUACUAUCCUCUAAGAGUGCUACCUUCAAAGACUGCCAUUUUGCCUGUGAAUCCUACACUUCUUCCACAGUCUGAAGAUGAAAGGGAGAUGUGUUCACGGACAGUUUAUUGCACUAAUAUUGAUAAAAAGGUUACUCAGACAGAUCUAAAAGAAUUCUUUCAGUCCUGCUGUGGUGAGGUCAGCACAGUGCCUUCUGUCUGGUUUCUCGCUUGAGACUUCUUGGGGAUAAUGUGCAUUCAACUCGCAUAGCAUUUGUUGAGUUUGUUCAGGCAGAAAGUGCCCUUCGAGCUCUGAAUUGCAGUGGGAUGGUUCUUGGAUCUCUUCCUAUUAGGUUAAGUCCUUCGAAGACUCCGGUCAGGCCUCGUGUUGCUCGCACAAUGCAGUAGCUGCAGUUUACUUUAUAUUCGAACUGAUGGGCCAAUUUUCACUACUGGAGGAACUUUGUUGUCUGGGAAGGGCUGAUGACAUUUGACUCUGCUUUAUUGGCGGAAAGCAUUUUUUCCCCACAACUAAAAAUGACCCACCUUCCUGCUGGCUUUGUUGUUUAAACAAGACCUGUCUUGUGGCUUUACAGAUGUUGUUAUCUGUUUUAUUUGUUAUUUAUUUGCGUGGUAAGAACUAAGGAGUGUCGUGGUAAGAACUCAGUAGCUGGUGAUCUCAACCAGCAUAGUUUUCUGCGGGAACCUGGAAACUGUGCUGCUCAUCUUUCAUUAAAGACAAACUUUUCUGAUUAUUCUAAUGAUUUUAGUUGUGAA